UCCCUGGUGGUCCAAUGGUUAAGAUUCUGAGCUCCCAGUGCAGAGGGCCCAGGUUUGAGCCUUGGUCAGGGAA
rnacentral:tRNA from 1 species